CAGUAGCCGCGGUAAUACGAAGGGUGCAAGCGUUAAUCGGAAUUACUGGGCGUAAAGCGUGCGUAGGCGGUGAGUUAAGUCUGCUGUGAAAUCCCCGGGCUCAACCUGGGAAUGGCAGUGGAUACUGGCUCGCUAGAGUGUGUCAGAGGAUGGUGGAAUUCCCGGUGUAGCAGUGAGAUGCGUAGAGAUCGGAAGGAACAUCUGUGGCGAAGGCGACUAUCUGGGCCAACACUGACACUGAGGCACGAAAGCGUGGGGAGCAAACAGGAUUAGAUACCCCUGUAGUCCCUGUCUCUUAUAC
rnacentral:rRNA from 1 species